UCGACAAGGGGGUUACACAGAAAAGAGAAGGGAUCAGUGUACCGAUGCCAUGUCUUCUUCUUCUCACAGUCCAGUCCAGUACGUAACCUGUCUUGCUUCUUCUUCUAUUAUAGGACUUUUCUCCUGACAACUAUUCCACUCAUUGGAUAGGGGUGAAUUGCUUGAAGGUUGAAUCUUGAAUAACAACAACAACUCUUUAGUUCUCUCUCCUUCGUACGUAUUUCGGAAGUCCGUCCCGUUCGUUGUUAACAAAGUCGUAAUGGACCUGAGGGGGGCACGGGGGGGAGGAGGAACUCCGUCCUAUCAGUUUAUCGAUAAGUCUAAGAAGCGGGGCGAUACGUAACCGACCAAUCGUCCCCGCUUCUCUCUCAAAGUGCCCCAUCCACAUCCAUGACAACGAUCGGACGGGUCCGUGGGCUCGACGGAUGACGGUUUGGUUGGUGGAUCCACUUAGGUAGAUGACGUUUUGGUUUUGACAGAUGGAUGAUGGCAACGAUAGUGUUUGAUAGGGGGAUAGAAAUAUGCAAAUUUGUAUGCGGUAUGGUGGCUUAACUUGGAAGGCAUAUACAAGAGGGUAUCAACGAGGAGGUCGGAAGGGAAAUAGAGAAGAAAGAAAGAAAGAACGAACGAAGAAAAAAAAAUAAGGAGAAAAGAGAAAGAAGAAAGAAAACAAAGGGAGGGAUGUCGGGAAAUGGAAGGGAGAGAAACUGAACCGCUCUUGUCAAACGCAACCACUCAACCACUCACGCACUGGAGCAACCUCAUUCCGGUCUAAACGAAAGACGGACGGGGAGACGGGAGAAAGAGAUGAAUACUAGGAACCACACUCACUGGCAGCAAAGACGGAAGAGAUUGAAAACGAUUCGACAAACUGUCAUGUGGUGAAACACCAGUUUGUAGGCAAUAAUCACCCAAUGGGAGUUGUCUGCUAUCCUCCCUUUGGACUGUCCAGUGUCCAGCACUGCAGUGUAGCGAACGAACGAACAAAUCAACAAAGACGUGUAGACAAACGGAAGACGGUUGCAACAAGUGGAAGUCAACUGAACUCGGCGGUGGGGUUGUUGUUGUUGUUACUGGCUAUGUGUGUCUCACGGGAGAUUCCUCGUCCAGCCAUUUCGUUUAGAUGGGUUCUGCCGCCGUCGCCGCAACGCAUGUGCGCGCGUGAGGACCGUUGACGCUUGACGGGAUGGAGGGUGGAUGCGUUGGACGAUUGGUCUUGCCCGUUCAAGGGUUCUCUAUACCUACCUACCACUGUGAGAGAUGGUGGUGUGGUGGGAGAGGAAGGAG